UUUCGUAAUCUACCCUUCCGGUUUCUCCUGUUCCGUUCAUCCGUCUCACUGUAUCUCACUGUUUCUCCGCGUAGCUUUCGUUGCAUCAUAUCUCAAAGUGUAACAAAUUUCUUCCUCUAAACUUCAACAUUCUCUUUCUACCUAACGUCUCUGUCUCUCUCUGAUGCUAUUGUUCAUGUACAAUUGCUGCAAACGCCCCUAUCACCAUGAAAUAGACCUUAACGCUGGGAAGCGUCGCAAUCAACCGGAAAUUCAUGACAUUUACUCAUGUGACAAUGGAAUCGGACGAGUACGCCAAUGCAGCCUUUGAGACGGCCCAUAACUGCUGAUUGUGCUCUAAUGAACCACAACUCGUAUUCUUGCUCUGGAAGGUUGUCUUUCGGAAGUGGAUAACUCCAAACACGCUAGGAAUUGUCACUCGGACGGCUGUAUAUCAUUGGUGCUGGAAAUUAAUCUUGUGACGUUUCCAAAUGUUGCUGAUGCUACAUUAGCUAAUGGCAUGUUUAGUCAUUACGAUCAUCCAUGAAUUGCUCAUCUUUGUGAGAAGGCCGGCCUUUUCAUUCGGGCCCUUCAGAUUGAAAAGCAUGAGCUUCUUGAGAUGAGGCGUGUAGCUUAUAUUUAUAAAAAAGCUGGAAGAUGGAAGCAGUUUAUUGCUUUGUCAAAAAGGGAAAAUCUUUACAAGGACUGCAUGGAAACUUGCUCCCAAUCUGGUGACCGUGAACUCUCAGGAUUUGCUUGUUUACUUUAUUGAGCAGGUCUAUUUUCUUAUUCCUUUCCUUGAAAUACCACUCUGCUAUUCCUUGCUAUAUGUAUAGUUGAUUCUCAGUUAUAAAUUUUUUCUUAGUUUUGUAGUCAUGUAAAUGCAUUCUGAUUAGGAUUUCACAAAAAAUUUGUUCGUCUAAUAUCGUAUAUAAAUAUUCAUCAACUAUUAUCAAUGUUCUAUUUGUGCUGGUUAGUUUCCCUGUUGCCUUUCACUGAUAAGUUUGGGUUAUUUUAUUUUACUUUCCAUAUGUGACUCACGAUAUGAUACAUGUAUUAGAUACGACAUGUAUUUAACAAUAUAUAUACAUAUUGAAAAGUUUACAAAAAUUCUUAAAAACAUGAUAAAUAUAUAAUUGCUAUUGUGUGAAAAUAAAAUCAUAUACAUUAAAUGUUGUGAAAGUUAAAAAUUUUAAAUUAUUUGUUAUAAUAAAAGUACUAUUAAUUUAUAGAUUAGAUACUUCAUUAAUAAGUAUCGGUGCUCCAAAUUGAAGUAUCGGUGCCUCAAAUUGAAGUAUCGAGGCAUCAUAGCUUUUCAUGUUAUCUUUUUCGUUAGUUCCAUGAGUUACAAAUGGUUGGAAGUCUCACAUCGAUUAGGGUUAAGUCUAAUUUAGUAUAUAUAAGGAGUGCAAACAUCAUCUUACAAGCCGAUUCUAUAGGAUUGAGUUAGACUUAAAGUUCACUUCCUAACAUGGUAUCAGAAUCAGAUUCUGAUCCUAGGACUUGUGAGCCGAAGGUUCGUGUUGGUGACUACUGGCUUAGAUGAGUCCCUAUAAUGAAAGUCUUCUUGAUGGAGGUUAGGCAAGUGUGUCCCUUUGAGAUGAACGGUAGUUCAAGUAGGGGUACUCGUGGUUAGUGAAAGUGCCAAUGUGAAGGGACUUAUACUUGAGGGGAAAAUUGUUGGGAAUCCAAGUGUGAGCUUAAGUCCUACAUUGAGCAAAAGUGAGAAAGUUAAAUAUCAUAUACAGAUGAAGAUCCAUAAACCCUUUCAUAAAUAUUUAUAAAUGUUGUGAAAGUUAAAAAUUAUAAAUUAUUUGUUAUAAUAAAAGUACUAUUAAUUUAUAGAUUAGAUACUUCAUUAAUAAGUAUCGGUGCUCCAAAUUGAAGUAUCGGUGCCUUAAAUUGAAGUAUCUAGGCAUCAUAGCUUUUCGUGUUAUCUUUUUUGUUAGUUCCUUGAGUUACAAAUGGUUAGAAGUCUCACAUCGAUUAGGGUUAAGACCAAUUUAGUAUAUAUAAGGAGUGUAAACUUCACCUUACAAGUCGAUUUGAUAGGAUUGAGUUAGACUUAAAGUUCACUUCCUAACAUGGUAUCAGAGUCAGGUUCUGAUCCUAGGACCUGUGAGCUGAAGGUUCGUGUUGGUGACUGGCUUAGACGAGUCCCUAUAUUGAAAGUCUUCUUGAUGGAGGGUUAGGCAAGUGUGUCCCUUUGAGAUGAACGGUAGUUCAAGAAGGGGUACUCGUGGUUAGCAGAAGUGCCAAUGUGAAGGGACUUAUACUUGAGGGAAAAAUUGUUGGGAAUCCAAGUGUGAGCUUAAGUGAAAAAGUUAAAUAUCAUAUAAAGAUGAAGACUCAAAAUUUAGACCAAUUUAGAAUAUAUAAGUGGAAUCACCUUACAAACCAAUUUUAUAACCAAUUUUGUAAGAUUGAAUUAGAUUUAAAAUUGACCUCCUAAAACACUAAUCCAAACACUUCUUCAAAAUUCUGAAAGAUGGUCUAUGUUUGAACAGAUCUCAUUACAUUGGUGAUUGUCAUGACAAAAGAAAACAAUUGUAAAUUGUCUCAGCACUUUUUCUUAUGUGAAAAACCUUUUCCCUUUUUUUAUGGUAAAACGUAACCGAUAUUUUAGGAUGGAAGAUGCCCUUUUAAAGAGUUAUUUGUCAGUACAAAUUAAAUCAUAGAAAAUUACAUAGGAUGCACUGUUUUUAUUCUAUAAAAAAUUGUGUUGGAUAAAAUAGUAAAGACUCGAUUUAACCAGAACACUAAACUUCAAUGUUUUAGUUCUUCACACUCUCAAAUUAGGAAGGGUUAAAUAUGUUUUUAGUCCCUAAACUAUUGGCCGUUUCUGGUUUUAGUCCAUCUUUCAAAAUAAGGUACAAUUUGGUUUUCAUUCUUUUCGAAACUUUGGUUUUAGUCCUCGAAAACUAACGCCGUUAAAAAUGUGCUGAUGAGUCUAACGUCUCUGUCCACGUGUUCUUACAGUUAAAAUGCAAAGUUAAUCCAACAUUGGUAAAGUUUGGUUUAUUAGUUUCAUUGGAAAGUGUUGUGUAAAGGAUUUGAGCAAAGACGAGGUCGAAAGAAGGUUCAAGCUUGGAUAUCACCUUGUUGGGCAUUGGUGGAGUUGGCCACGGAAAUGAAAGGUGAUAGAGGAGGUUGCACACCAAGGAGCAUAGGUUCUGGAAUGUCCCAAACAUGUGGAUCCUCUCACUUAGCUUCAAAAAACUGUGAUUGUGGGAAAAAUUGUUGUUGUUGAAGGCAACUACAUUGAAGAACAAAGGGAAACUAUUUUAUAGAUGUAGAAAUUGGGCAAGUAAUUCAAGCUGUAACUUCUUUGAAUGGAUUGAUGAAGGAGAUUUCGAAAUGGAAGGAAGCUUACAAAGGAAGAGUGAAGAAGUUGAAGUGUGUAUUGAAAAUGUUGUGUUGAAUCUAAGGAAGAAGAAGGACAAGUUGAAGAAGAAAUUAGAGUAAGAGAGAAAAAUUUCAAAAUGAUGUUGGUGUUUUUUGUAUUGUCAUGGGCAUUAACAACUAUGUUUUGUAUUCUGUUUGUGUUGAAGGUAAAUUGUAAUUAGAUAGAUAAUGUUGUGGAUGUACUUUGAAGUUUGAAAUUGAAUAAAAUG